UGGGGAAUAUUGCACAAUGGGCGCAAGCCUGAUGCAGCGACGCCGCGUGGGGGAUGACGGCCUUCGGGUUGUAAACUCCUUUCGCAACCGACGAAGCUUUUGUGACGGUAGGUUGAGAAGAAGCACCGGCUAACUACGUGCCAGCAGCCGCGGUAAUACGUAGGGUGCGAGCGUUGUCCGGAAUUACUGGGCGUAAAGAGCUCGUAGGUGGUUUGUCGCGUCGUUUGUGGAAUACCGCAGCUUAACUGCGGGGUUGCAGGCGAUACGGGCAUAACUUGAGUGCUGUAGGGGAGACUGGAAUUCCUGGUGUAGCGGUGGAAUGCGCAGAUAUCAGGAGGAACACCGAUGGCGAAGGCAGGUCUCUGGGCAGUAACUGGCGCUGAGGAGCGAAAGCAUGGGGAGCGAACAGGAUUAGAUACCCUGGUAGUCCAUGCCGUAAACGGUGGGCGCUGGGUGUGAGUCCCUUCCACGGGGUUCGUGCCGUAGCUAACGCAUUAAGCGCCCCGCCUGGGGAGUACGGCCGCAAGGCU
rnacentral:rRNA from 1 species